rnacentral:rRNA from 1 species
AUUGAACGCUGGCGGCAGGCCUAACACAUGCAAGUCGAGCGGAUGACGGGAGCUUGCUCCUUGAUUCAGCGGCGGACGGGUGAGUAAUGCCUAGGAAUCUGCCUGGUAGUGGGGGACAACGUUUCGAAAGGAACGCUAAUACCGCAUACGUCCUACGGGAGAAAGCAGGGGACCUUCGGGCCUCGCGCUAUCAGAUGAGCCUAGGUCGGAUUAGCUAGUUGGUGGGGUAAUGGCUCACCAAGGCGACGAUCCGUAACUGGUCUGAGAGGAUGAUCAGUCACACUGUAACUGAGACACGGUCCAGACUCUUACGGGAGGCAGCAGUGGGGAGUAUUGGACAAUGGGCGAAAGCCUGAUACAGCCAUGCCGCGUGUGAAGAAGGUCUUCGGAUUGUAAAGCACUUUAAGUUGGGAGGAAGGGCAGUAGCUAAUACCUUGCUGUUUUGACGUUACCGACAGAAUAAGCACCGGCUAACUCUGUGCCAGCAGCCGCCGUAAAAC